GCAAAACUUGUUGUCUUCCCACCGCCCCCACCCCAAUUCACCGCCUGCCUCGCGAUCAACGUUAACGUGAGGUUUUCCAAUGUUAGCGGAAAUACGUCAGGAAGUAAAACUGUCGUGGUUCCCGAUGCAACCUUUCUGUUCGAUACAUAAAUGAGCUCAAAAUUGUCGCUUACUCAGUAACGUUUCCACCGUAAUAACAACAUUGUACAAGUCCAUUCUUGGAGCUCUGAAGACAAGCAUAUUUGUACAAUACUGCUUUGUUUACUAUUUCUGUAGUUUAGCAAAGAUAGAUGUACUUUUUUGGGGGGAAAUUUCAGAACUGCGUAUGUCAGAGUGGUUAUAUUCUGAAUAAAUUCAGGUGCAUAUACAUGCACAUUAUGAUUUAAUUAAUUAAUUGUUUACCCAUAUAAAUGGAAUAAUCCAAAUACAUUUUAAUCCAAUUUUGAAAUUUCUGUGCAUGUAAACAUAGCUAUCGUGGACUAAUGUUGGAUCCAGACGUCUGUACUCCCCACAUGCCAGGGAUUGGGACUGGGUGGGCAUUCUGUGCCAUUGCUUGGCAUGUGGAGAAUAUACAUGUCUGGUUCAAACAUUGUUUACCAUGAUAUCGUAUUGUGAAUUAAUUAGGCUUUGUGGGUCUGUCGUGUCAUUGUCUGUGAUGUGGACCAUGUAGUUGUCAUGGUAAACAAUGUUGGAAUCAGAGAUCUAUAAGCCCCACUUGGAGGACAUUGAGCCCAGGUGGGUGUUAUAUGCCAUUUCUUGGCAUGUGAGGAGAAUGGAUGUUAAUUGAGGCCCAAUAUUGGAUCCAGACAUCUGUACUCCCUACAUUCCAAGGAACGGGACUUGGUGGGCAUUUUAUGCCAUUGCCUUACAUGUGGGGAAUAUAGAUGUCUGGUUCCAACAUGGUUUACCAUGACAUCUUUAUACUCCACAUGUUAAGUAAUGAGCCUGUGUGAGUGUUUCAUGCCAUUACCUGGCAUGUGGGGCAUACAGAUGUCUGGUCCCAUCUUUGGUCACUGUGACAUCUGUAUGUCUCAUUAGCCAGGUUAAUGGAUUUCUACAAACAGCUCCAUGAACGCAUGCAAUACAACUCUAUCCAACUCCACCACCUGCUGGUGGUGCUGUCUGAUGCGUCUACGAGUCUUUCUCUGUGUCUGCUGACCUUUGCUCACUGUUCCAGCUGACUCCCAGACACACCGGUAACUACCUGUGACACCAUCACCUCACUUAUAUUGUCAUCACUUGUGCCCCCUGAGGGCUUAUAUGGACUUAGCGGCUUCCUGUAUGAUUCAUUUUGACACCUGCCAGUGGUCUGCUUGUGGAGGAGAAUAAAACCAAGCUGGACCAUUUCUACUGGGUGCUGACUUGGUGAUUCUGUUUUUUGUAAAUCACCUUCAAGUGCACCCAUCAAACCUUUCACCAAUCCACAACUCCAACUUGGAAAAGAUGGAAAGAAGGAGACAAUCACCAACUCCACCAUACAGCAAUCUUGUGCUGCCCUCAGCCUCUGUGGAUAUCAUCGCCUCAUCUGCAACAGAUACUGAUAAGAAUCAUUCACUCCACCAAUUUCCUGCCAACUUCAUUAUCUGCAUAUAUCCUCUCCUCCUCUGCACCAGACCCGGUUACCUGAGGGAGACUUCAGAUUGUUCUGCUGACACAAGUGAACUCUCCUUAAGAACCUCUACAUCGCUCCUCUGUCUGCUCUCCUGGCUCAGGUGCUCCUCAAUAACUCAUCGCUCUUCACCUGCCAGUCCACCCUCCAACAUUUUGCCGAUCCACAACGUCCACUAGGAAAAGAAGGACCGAAGGAGACAAUGAUUAACUCCACCAAUCUCCUGACCAACCUCAGCCUCAGUGGAUAUCCUGACUUCCUCUGCACUAAACCGGGUUUCCUGAGGGAGACUUCAGAUGUUCUGCUCACACAAGUGAACUCUCCUUAAGAACCUCUACACCGCUCCUCUGUCUGCUCUCCUGGCUCAAGGGCUCCUCGAUAACUCAUCACUCUCUCACCACCUGCCAGUCCACCCUCCAACAUUUUGCCGAUCCACAACGUCCACUAGGAAAAGAAGGACCGAAGGAGACAAUCAUUAACUCCACCAAUCUCCUGACCAAACUCAGCCUCAGUGGAUAUCCUGACUUCCUCUGCACCAGACCGAGUUUCCUGAGGGAGACUUCAGAUGUUCUGCUCACACAAGUGAACUCUCCUUAAGAACCUCUACACCAAUCCUCUCUCUGCUCUCCUGGCUCAAGUGCUCCUCGAUAACUCAUCACUCUCUCACCACCUGCCAGUGCACCCUCCAACAUUUUGCCGAUCCACAACUUCCACUAGGCAAAGAAGGACCGAAGGAGACAAUAAUUAACUCCACCAAUCUCCUGACCAAACUCAGCCUCAGUGGAUAUCCUCACUUCCUCUUCACCAAACCGGGUUUCCUGAGGGAGACUUCAGAUGUUCUGCUCACACAAGUGAACUCUCCUUAAGAACCUCUACAUCGCUCCUCUGUCUGCUCUCCUUGCCCAAGUGCUCCUCGAUAACUCAUCACUCUCUCACCACCUGCCAGUCCACCCUCCAACAUUUAGCCAAUCCACAACUUCCACUUGGAAAAGAAGGACUGAAGGAGACAAUCAUUAACUCCACCAAUCUCCUGACCAAGCUCCGCCUCAGUGGAUAUCCUCACUUCCUCUUCACCAGACUGGGUUUCCCAAAGGAGUCUUCAGAUUGACAAGUGAUCAUUGAUUCUAAAGUACUGACUUCCAUUUUCUGCGUCUGUUCUGAGAAAUCUCCUUAAAAACCUCCACACUGGUUCUCUGACCGCACUCCUGCCUGUACAUCCUCCAAAGUUGGUUUCACCAAUCAAAAACUUCAAGAAGGACAAAGGACCAAGUUUCUGGAGGCAGAUGCCAGGUUGUUGUCCUCACACAUGAGUCUGUUUGAACAACUCUUCCUAAGAAUUUCCACACCACUCCUCUGGCCACCCUCCUGGCACAAGGGCUCAUCUGUAACUUAUUGGUCACUCACCUCCUGGUGCACUCUCCAUCGCCCAAACCUCCACCUUGAAGAGAAGGACAG